AGUGAACGCUGGCGGUAGGCCUAACACAUGCAAGUCGGACGGCAGCACAGUAGGAGCUUGCUCUUACGGGUGGCGAGUGGCGGACGGGUGAGGAAUACAUCGGAAUCUACUUUUUCGUGGGGGAUAACGUAGGGAAACUUACGCUAAUACCGCAUACGACCUACGGGUGAAAGCAGGGGAUCUUCGGACCUUGCGCGAUUGAAUGAGCCGAUGUCGGAUUAGCUAGUUGGCGGGGUAAAGGCCCACCAAGGCGACGAUCCGUAGCUGGUCUGAGAGGAUGAUCAGCCACACUGGAACUGAGACACGGUCCAGACUCCUACGGGAGGCAGCAGUGGGGAAUAUUGGACAAUGGGCGCAAGCCUGAUCCAGCCAUACCGCGUGGGUGAAGAAGGCCUUCGGGUUGUAAAGCCCUUUUGUUGGGAAAGAAAAGCAGCAGGUUAAUACCCCGCUGUUCUGACGGUACCCAAAGAAUAAGCACCGGCUAACUUCGUG
rnacentral:rRNA from 1 species